AGAGUUUGAUCCUGGCUCAGAUUGAACGCUGGCGGCAGGCUAACACAUGCAAGUCGAGCGGUAGAGAGAAGCUUGCUUCUCUUGAGAGCGGCGGACGGGUGAGUAAUACCUAGGAAUCUGCGUGAUAGUGGGGGAUAACGUUCGGAAACGGACGCUAAUACCGCAUACGUCCUACGGGAGAAAGCAGGGGACCUUCGGGCCUUGCGCUAUCAGAUGAGCCUAGGUCGGAUUAGCUAGUUGGUGAGGUAAUGGCUCACCAAGGCUACGAUCCGUAACUGGUCUGAGAGGAUGAUCAGUCACACUGGAACUGAGACACGGUCCAGACUCCUACGGGAGGCAGCAGUGGGGAAUAUUGGACAAUGGGCGAAAGCCUGAUCCAGCCAUGCCGCGUGUGUGAAGAAGGUCUUCGGAUUGUAAAGCACUUUAAGUUGGGAGGAAGGGCAUUAACCUAAUACGUUAGUGUCUUGACGUUACCGACAGAAUAAGCACCGGCUAACUCUGUACCAGCAGCCGCGGUAAUACAGAGGGUGCAAGCGUUAAUCGGAAUUACUGGGCGUAAAGCGCGCGUAGGUGGUUUGUUAAGUUGAAUGUGAAAUCCCCGGGCUCAACCUGGGAACUGCAUCCAAAACUGGCAAGCUAGAGUAUGGUAGAGGGUAGUGGAAUUUCCUGUGUAGCGGUGAAAUGCGUAGAUAUAGGAAGG
rnacentral:rRNA from 1 species